rnacentral:misc_RNA from 1 species
ACAAACUUGGUCAUUUAGAGGAAGUAAAAGUCGUAACAAGGUUUCCGUAGGUGAACCUGCGGAAGGAUCAUUAACGUGCGGGGAGGUUCGGCUCCCCUCUUCCCCCCGGGGGAGGGGGUGCGUGUCGGCCUCCGUGACCCGUCCACCCGUGUCUACUGUACCCGUCGUUGCCUCCGGCCGGCCGCGGCACAUACGCCCCGACCGGCCGGCGGUGACCCCCGAGAACCCUCAGCGGAUACUGUCACGUCUGAAGAGAUUACGAGAGAAAUCAAAUCAAAACUUUCAACAACGGAUCUCUUGGUUCCGACAUCGAUGAAGAACGCAGC